rnacentral:lncRNA from 1 species
UGGAUGGUUCUAGAGAUUUCUUUGCUGCACCAAAUGGGCUUUGGCAAGAAAGUUCUAAUGGAGCCAAACGCAUGUCUGGUUUUCACAAUGCUCCUGAUAGCUCGGGUGAUUUCUGUGCUGCUUCAAAUGGGCUUUGGCAGGAAAAUUCUGAGGGAGCCAAAUAUGCAUCUGGGUUUCACCAUGCUCCUCAUAAUUCUAGUAGUUUCUUUGAUGCAUCAAAUGUGCUUUGGCAGGAAUCUGAGGGAACCAAAAACACAUCUGGGUUUCACAAUGCUCCUGAUAAUUCUAGUGGUUUCUUUGAUGCUUCAAAUGGGCUUUGGCAAGAAUCUAGGGGAUCUGGGUUUCACAUUGCCUCUGGUAAUUCUAGGGAUUUGUUUGAUGCAUCAAAAGGGCUUUGGCAGGAACCUGAGGGAGCCAAACACGUAAGUGGGUCUCACAAUGGUCCAGAUAGUUCUAGUGAUUUCUUUGAUGCAUCAAAUGAGCUUUGGCAGGAAAAUCCUGAGGCAUCAAAACAAGUAUCUGGGCUUCACAAUGCUCCAGAUAAUUCUGGUGUUUUAUUUGCUGCAUCGACUGAACUUUGGCAGGAAAAUUCUGGAGGAGAAAAU